ACUUGUCCCAAAAUGACCGAGGCGCGCGAUGGCCAACAACUAAAACUAAACUUAAAAAAAAAAAAACCUAUAAAAAUACAAAAAAUACAAAUACAAAAUAAUUAUAAAAGCUGAACGCAAGAAAUGAAAUUCAAAUUUAAAGUGUGCCCAGCAGCUCAAGUGUGUAAAAUGGCAAAUCGGCAGCGAACUGCAGGCCCAGGACAUGGCCCCUUCUCAAACACAAUAUGAAAAGUCAAGCAAAAGCCUUUAAAUGAGAGAAAGAGAGAGAGAGAGAGAGAGAGAGUGAAACCUCAAAGAGAGUGAAGAUCUCAAAGCCUGGCGAGUUUGCAGUCGUAAGUUUACAUUUUACAGCCCAUCUGAAUUCAACUCAAUGCCCCAAGGAAUUGUUUAUCUAAUUGCCAUAUUCAAAUGGGGUAGGCCAGACAGGUAAGUAAUUAAUACAGUGGAACCUUGAAUUACUCGAAAUACGUAAUUAUCUAUGCAAAUAAUAUUAUUUUCUUUACAAUUUUUUUGCAAAAAAGUCAACUCAAAUUAACACAAAUGGAUCAGAAAUAUUUGGACAAGAGUGUAAAGCUACAAAGGUUCAACUUAAAAUAAUUCUUACACUCAAAUCGAGGGAAGAAACCGUCUUUUGGCGAAGAAACCUGGCGUUAGGAUUCAAGCUAAAUUAUCACACUCAAAAAAUAAGCCUAUAUAACUACUUAUACUACAUAUUCCUAAGGAUAUCUUUAUCAUUUUGUUUGGAACUGUUCAACGCAUUGAUGGACACACCUUCAACCACAAAUGUAUAGUAUAUAGACUGCUGUCUGUUCUCUGCUUAUAGGUCUUUAUUAUUUUAAGUAAAGUACACGAGUUAAUGCUGGCAGGAUGUACUAAGUAAUAUGUAUACUUGCUAAAGGAAUUAUCGCUCGCAUGAAAAAUAUUUGUUUCUCAGCUAUAUUUCUCUAAUAAUAUUGAAACAGAAGCAUUUUCAAAUCAGAAUCUAUCAAGUUAGUUCAUUUUAUAAAAGUAAACCCCUAUAUAAUUUCUAUAAGGACAAUCGACCGGAAAUUGUUUUUUUUUUUUUUGAGGAUAAAUUAACUUAGUUCCAUUUGUGAUGCUGAGAUUAACGGUGCUAAUUUGUAUAUGUUUAAUACUUUGGUAAAUUAUUAUAAAACUCAAAUUUUAAAGAAUUUCGGUAAGAACUAUUCAUGUAUAUUCAAGGAUCCACUGUAUACAGCUAAUGCAUUUAUACAACUUCGUAUUAUUUGCUAAUAUACUACACCAAGCGUUGUUGUUUUUUUUUAUAUUAUUAUUGUCCAUUUCCACCCAAUGUUCAAGCAGUAAUUCGCUCUUCCCAUGGGGCCUUGAGACUUGAAGCUGACGGGCAACGUAAAAUGUAAUCAACGACAAGCACUGCAAUAACAACAACAACAACAACAGCAACAACUAGAGUGAAUGUAUAACAACAACUACAAGAACUGCUAGAACAGUCAGAGCGCGCCUCGUGGCCCCCAUUCAAAACCUGGUCGCACACUUUUGUGGAAUCGACGAACUUCAACAAUUUAUGCAAUUGGCAGCAAAA